rnacentral:rRNA from 1 species
GUGAGGAAUAUUGGACAAUGGGCGCAAGCCUGAUCCAGCCAUGCCGCGUGCAGGAAGACGCAUCUAUGGUGAGUAAACUGCUUUUGUACGGGAAGAAACACUCCCUCGUGAGGGAGCUUGACGGUACCGUAAGAAUAAGGAUCGGCUAACUCCGUGCCAGCAGCCGCGGUAAUACGGAGGAUCCAAGCGUUAUCCGGAAUCAUUGGGUUUAAAGGGUCCGUAGGCGGUUUAAUAAGUCAGUGGUGAAAGCCCAUCGCUCAACGAUGGAACGGCCAUUGAUACUGUUAGACUUGAAUUACAAGGAAGUAACUAGAAUAUGUAGUGUAGCGGUGAAAUGCUUAGAUAUUACAUGGAAUACCAAUUGCGAAGGCAGGUUACUACUUGUGGAUUGACGCUGAUGGACGAAAGCGUGGGGAGCGAACAGGAUUAGAAACCCCUGUAGUCC